CACUGGUCAGUUACAGCCUCCUACGUCCCAGCUGUGCGUUUCCUGUGAAAAGAAUAAGGUACAAGACCUCCACCCUGAUCAUCAAACCCCACCCAGGGAGAGAAUCUCAACCCAAUUCCAGAAUACUGAGCUCCAAAAUGGACUCUUGACCACAAGACUGAAACACAAUCACAAAUCCUGGACCCUGAAAUGGAAACCUGCCCUCCAGGAAUGGAACCCUCAUCCUCAACCUGGAACCCAUACUCCCAAAUGGGAGCCUCAAGAUCAGCCCAAAAUCUUGCCUGCAGAAAUAGCACCUUCACCCCAAAAUACCACCUCAUGCCUCAGGAACUGAGAACCUUAGCACCAGACAGAAAACCUCCACUUUCAGAAAAAGUCCUGAAUCUUGGGGAGGGAGCUCUCUCUUCAAAAGCCGAUCUGGCCUCUUCUUAUACAGAAAUGAGCCGCACAAUGACAUUUCGUUCAAUGACAGAUCACAUAUAAGACAGUGAUCCCAUAAGAUUAUGACGGAGCUGAAAAAUUCCUAUCACCCAGUGAUGUCGUAGCCAUGAUAACAUCAUCGUGCAAUGCAUUAUGUUACCUGUUCUAUGGUUAGAUGCAUAAAUACUUACCCUUGUGUUACCACUGCCUGC
rnacentral:lncRNA from 1 species